rnacentral:rRNA from 1 species
UAGGGAAUCUUCCGCAAUGGACGACAGUCUGACGGAGCAACGCCGCGUGAGUGAAGAAGGACUUCGGUUCGUAAAACUCUGUUGUUAGGGAAGAAAGAAUGUAUAGUAACUAUAUACAAAAGAGACGGUACCUAACCAGAAAGCCACGGCUAACUACGUGCCAGCAGCCGCGGUAAUACGUAGGUGGCAAGCGUUGUCCGGAAUUAUUGGGCGUAAAGCGCGCGCAGGUGGUUUAGAAAGUCUGAUGUGAAAGCCCACGGCUCAACCGUGGAGGGUCAUUGGAAACUAAUAAACUUGAGUGCAGGAGAGAAAAGUGGAAUUCCUAGUGUAGCGGUGAAAUGCGUAGAGAUUAGGAGGAACACCGGUGGCGAAAGCGGCUUUUUGGCCUGCAACUGACACUGAGGCGCGAAAGCGUGGGGAGCAAACAGG